rnacentral:rRNA from 1 species
GGCCGGGCGCGGCGGUCCACCGUUUGGUGCGCACUGCCGGCAGCCUGGUCUUGCCUCCCGUGCGUGCGCGCCGGCCUUCGCGGGCAUGGCGUGUGCGGGGCGGGACGUUUACCUUGAGAAAAUUAGAGUGUUCAAAGCAGGCGCCUCAGCCUGAAUAGAUUAGCAUGGAAUAAUGGAAUAGGACGGUGGUUCUAUUUUGUUGGUUCUAGGACCGCAGUA